GGUCCUCACAAGGGGAUCAGGGCCUUUUUAAAAAAAGAGAGACCCACCGGGGCACGCUCUCUGCCUGUCAGCACACAGCGAGCAGCCGGCGGUCUGCAGUCAGGAAGAGAGCCCUCACCAGACACAGCAACUGCAUCUGGGACUCCCAGCCCGAGAACAUCCUUCGAGCCACCUGGUCUCCAGCAUUUGUGAUGGCAACCCAGUGACCAGGACAGUUGCUCACCAUGGAGGGCCCUCCAGGGGAGUGGGGACAUGGGGGCCAGACUGCUAGGCUGAGAAAAGGAGGUGUGGAGCUGGGCUGUGGGCAGAUGUGGGCUCACACGAAGUCGGGUGGAUGGUGGGAAGAUUGAUAUUCAGAGCAGAACCUGAUGGGGGACAAGGAAGCGUUCUUUCUGAACGUGUGGCCUUGGAGCAGGCCUAGAGGUGCUUUUAGAUAAGACGCAGGUUCAUGUGAGGGGAUAACCUGUAGAGUUCAGUCUCCAGAAAUGUCAGAGGUGGCUCUGAUCCCACGGGACCUGGUCUGGAGGCCAGGGAGAGGCUGGGUGCAGAUGCAGGGAGACUGGUCACUCUGACCAGGGCCUGCGCUGAGGCCUCUGGCUUCCUUUCCCAGAGCUAGAGAGCAGGGUCUGCCGGCAGGGAGUCUGGCCACAGGCUGGGGGAGGACAUAGCCAGCCGGCGUGAGAGAGGCGCUCGAGGGUACCAGUCCUGCUAGGCGCUAGGUUCCUGGAAAACACUGAGAGUUGGAAUUGACCUGUUUUAUAGAUGAGAAAUCUGGGGCUCCAGAGGUCAAGAUUCUGUCCACAUGAUGUAACAUGGGAGUGCCCAGGUAGGACUGCAGCCCCAUCAACACUGCCCUGGCCCUGGCCUCCAAGCCACUCUGCCCCGGCCUCCUGGACCCACACUCCUGGGUCCCCAGGCUUCCCACCCGUGUCUGUGAUGCCCUAGCUUAGCUUUGUCUGAGUGCGGGGCACAGCGUAGGAGAACCCAGGGUCCCUGCCUGCUCUCCCCUCUGCCUUGACUGGACCCCCCUUCCUGAGAAGCCCAGUCCCAGGGUCAUUGCUGCUUGGCGAGGGGUGGGUGGGCAUCUGCACACCAUCCUGAGCUGGUGGCCCACUGGAUGGCAGAUGCUCCUCUAUUCCCAAAUGGCUUAAGUUUGAAACGCAGCCUGAGAUCCAUCUGCGUAAAGCUGAACUGGACAGCGUUCGGCAAGCCACGCCUGGCCUGCAGAGGGAGGAUUUUCUUUGAGGUGUCCAGGAAAGACCCAGGGGUGAGAGCGUUUCAUUCCUUCCAGCCACGUGCAGCGGCCUCCCUAGGAGAGUUCUGGAAUGCUCCAUCCUCCUCCUUUGCUAUUUCCACCCACACCUCAGUGUCCCUGUGAGAGUUAAGCAUUAUAGAUCAGCGUCCUGGGAACUUGCCCAGCUGACCCUGCCCGCCCGCUCCAGCCAUGGUGUGCCUCCGUUUCCCUGACUUUUCAUGGACGCAGGUGACUCAUUGCUGAGAUCUUGUGGGGCCUCAUGCUGGGAGGGGCUGCAGAGCUGUGGUGAUGGUGUGUGAACUGCUCGCCAUCUGCCAGGCCACGAGGCGGUCUCCGUGGGAAACACCGGCGUGUCUGGGGACACGUUCUCUCCUCAUCGGAAAUGUUUGCACUGAGCAAAUUCCCUCUUGUUUAUGCUGGGCUGCUUUUAGGUCGGUUGUGGGAAGUAGCAGGUGGCCGAGCCCCAAAAUAAGAGGUGACCAAUAAUCAAAGACCUCAGAAAGGAAAGCUUGUGAGUGCGUUUCAGCCCCUCCUGGGAGCCCCCCCUGGAAGCCCCCUCUGGGAGUCCCUCCUGGGAGCCCCUCCUGGUGGUGGAGAGUCACAACCGUCCUGCCUGGGCCUGCACCAGGGUCUCCUGGUUGCCAGACUCUCAGGGCUAACACCCAGAAUAUACUGGGCAAACAAAAAACAGUCACAUUACACUUGGAAAGUAAGUUUUCUUUCUUUCCACUUGGAAAGUAAGUUUUCUUUCUUUCUUUUUUUUAGAUGAUUUUGCACUUAGAGGAAAAUCCAGAUAAAACAGAGGAUUCCGACGUACGUCCAGCUUCUCCUGCUAUGACUAUCUUGCGUUAGCCUGGCAAAUUCGUCACUGUCAACCAAUAUUAGCACACUGUCAUUACACAAAGCCCAUGCUUGGGUCAGGUUCCCUUCGUCUACAGCUGGCACCGUCCUGCUCCAGGGCCCGCUAACAGUCCUAGUUAGUUAGCCGCUGCAUCUCCCUGGGCUCCACCUGGCUGUGACGGUGCCUCAAAC
rnacentral:lncRNA from 1 species